UACGGGGGGGGGCAAGCGUUGUUCGGAAUUACUGGGCGUAAAGGGCGCGUAGGCGGCUUUUCAAGUCGGGCGUGAAAUACUCCGGGCUUAACCCGGAAGGGUCGUUCGAUACUGUUGAGCUAGAGUGUGGAAGAGGCAACUAGAAUUCCGUGUGUAGCGGUGAAAUGCGUAGAUAUACGGAGGAAUACCUGAGGCGAAGGCGGGUUGCUGGGCCAACACUGACGCUGAAGUGCGAAAGCCAGGGGAGC
rnacentral:rRNA from 1 species